GACGAAGCGUGCGAACGUUAUUCGGAAUCACUGGGCUUAAAGCGCGUGUAGGCGGCCCGGCGCGUCGGAUGCUGAAAUCCCCCGGCUCAACCGGGGAAGGGGCGCCGAUACGGCCGGGCUGGAGGGGGGUAGGGGGCGCUGGAACUCACGGUGGAGCGGUGAAAUGCGUUGAGAUCGUGAGGAACGCCCGCGGCGAAAGCGAGCGCCUGGACCCUUUCUGACGCUGAGACGCGAAAGCCAGGGGAGCGAACGGG
rnacentral:rRNA from 1 species